GAUGAACGCUGGCGGUGUGCCUAAUACAUGCAAGUCGAGCGAACAGACGAGGAGCUUGCUCCUCUGACGUUAGCGGCGGACGGGUGAGUAACACGUGGAUAACCUACCUAUAAGACUGGGAUAACUUCGGGAAACCGGAGCUAAUACCGGAUAAUAUAUUGAACCGCAUGGUUCAAUAGUGAAAGACGGUUUUGCUGUCACUUAUAGAUGGAUCCGCGCCGCAUUAGCUAGUUGGUAAGGUAACGGCUUACCAAGGCAACGAUGCGUAGCCGACCUGAGAGGGUGAUCGGCCACACUGGAACUGAGACACGGUCCAGACUCCUACGGGAGGCAGCAGUAGGGAAUCUGCCGCAAUGGGCGAAAGCCUGACGGAGCAACGCCGCGUGAGUGAUGAAGGUCUUCGGAUCGUAAAACUCUGUUAUUAGGGAAGAGCAAAUGUGUAAGUAACUAUGCACGUCUUGACGGUACCUAAUCAGAAAGCCACGGCUAACUACGUG
rnacentral:rRNA from 1 species